AAAAGUCACUAGGGGAGCUUUAAUAGCUGAGAAGAGACAAUACGUCCUGACCCUUUGAACCUGAUUUGGUUAAUACCAGCGUAGGGAAGUGAAAAAUUAGAGAG
rnacentral:ncRNA from 5 species